CAGGCCUAACACAUGCAAGUCGAACGAGAUCUUCGGAUCUAGUGGCGCACGGGUGCGUAACGCGUGGGAAUCUGCCCUUGGGUUCGGAAUAACAGCGAGAAAUUGCUGCUAAUACCGGAUGAUGACGUAAGUCCAAAGAUUUAUCGCCCAGGGAUGAGCCCGCGUAGGAUUAGCUAGUUGGUGGGGUAAAGGCCUACCAAGGCGACGAUCCUUAGCUGGUCUGAGAGGAUGAUCAGCCACACUGGGACUGAGACACGGCCCAGACUCCUACGGGAGGCAGCAGUGGGGAAUAUUGGACAAUGGGCGAAAGCCUGAUCCAGCAAUGCCGCGUGAGUGAUGAAGGCCCUAGGGUUGUAAAGCUCUUUUACCUGGGAUGAUAAUGACAGUACCGGGAGAAUAAGCUCCGGCUAACUCCGUGCCAGCAGCCGCGGUAAU
rnacentral:rRNA from 1 species